ACGGAAGGCAGCAGUGGGGAAUAUUGCACAAUGGGCGAAAGCCUGAUGCAGCGACGCCGCGUGAGUGAAGAAGUAUCUCGGUAUGUAAAGCUCUAUCAGCAGGGAAGAAAAUGACGGUACCUGACUAAGAAGCCCCGGCUAACUACGUGCCAGCAGCCGCGGUAAUACGUAGGGGGCAAGCGUUAUCCGGAUUUACUGGGUGUAAAGGGAGCGUAGACGGUUUGGCAAGUCUGAAGUGAAAUGCGGGGGCUCAACUCCUGAACUGCUUUGGAAACUGUCGAACUAGAGUGGAGGAGAGGUAAGUGGAAUUCCUAGUGUAGCGGUGAAAUGCGUAGAUAUUAGGAGGAACACCAGUGGCGAAGGCGGCUUACUGGACUGUAACUGACGUUGAGGCUCGAAAGCGUGGGGAGCAAACAGGAUUAGAUACCCUGGUA
rnacentral:rRNA from 1 species